rnacentral:rRNA from 1 species
AUUGAACGCUGGCGGCAGGCCUAACACAUGCAAGUCGAGCGGAUGAAGGGAGCUUGCUCCUGGAUUCAGCGGCGGACGGGUGAGUAAUGCCUAGGAAUCUGCCUGGUAGUUGGGGAUAACGUCCGGAAACGGGCGCUAAUACCGCAUACGUCCUGAGGGAGAAAGUGGGGGAUCUUCGGACCUCACGCUAUCAGAUGAGCCUAGGUCGGAUUAGCUAGUUGGUGGGGUAAAGGCCUACCAAGGCGACGAUCCGUAACUGGUCUGAGAGGAUGAUCAGUCACACUGGAACUGAGACACGGUCCAGACUCCUACGGGAGGCAGCAGUGGGGAAUAUUGGACAAUGGGCGAAAGCCUGAUCGAGCCAUGCCGCGUGAGUGAAGAAGGUCUUCGGAUUGUAAAGCACUUUAAGUUGGGAGGAAGGGCAGUAAGUUAAUACCUUGCUGUUUUGACGUUACCAACAGAAUAAGCACCGGCUAACUUCGUG